AUGGGCUACAUUGCACCAGAACUAUACUCUAGGAACUUUGGAGGGAUAUCCUACAAGUCAGAUGUUUACAGUUUUGGCAUGCUGGUGUUAGAAAUGGUGAGUGGGAGGAGGAACACAGACCCAAGUAUUGGGAUCCAGAACCAGGUAUAUCUCCCAGAGUGGAUCUAUGAGAAAGUAAUGACUGGAGAGGAAUUGGUGCUUACUUUGGAAGUGACAGCAGAAGAGCAAGAAAAGACAAGACAGCUGGCUAUUGUGGCACUUUGGUGUAUUCAGUGGAACCCAAGAAACCGGCAAUCGAUGACAAAGGUGGUAAACAUGUUAUUGGGAAGUUUGCAGGAUCUGCAGAUGCCCCUUUGUCCCAUCUGA
rnacentral:rRNA from 1 species